GAGUUUGAUCAUGGCUCAGAUUGAACGCUGGCGGCAGGCCUAACACAUGCAAGUCGAGCGCGAAAGCACUUCGGUGUGAGUAAAGCGGCGGACGGGUGAGUAACGCGUAGGAAUCUACCUAGUAGUGGGGGACAACUCGGGGAAACUCGAGCUAAUACCGCAUACGCCCUACGGGGGAAAGCGGGGGACCUUCGGGCCUCGUGCUAUUAGAUGAGCCUGCGUUGGAUUAGCUAGUUGGUGGGGUAAAGGCCUACCAAGGCGACGAUCCAUAGCUGGUCUGAGAGGAUGAUCAGCCACACCGGGACUGAGACACGGCCCGGACUCCUACGGGAGGCAGCAGUGGGGAAUAUUGCGCAAUGGGCGAAAGCCUGACGCAGCCAUGCCGCGUGUGUGAAGAAGGCCUUCGGGUUGUAAAGCACUUUCAAUUGGGAGGAAAGGUUCACGGUUAAUAACCGUGAGCUGUGACGUUACCUUUAUAAGAAGCACCGGCUAACUCCGUGCCAGCAGCCGCGGUAAUACGGAGGGUGCAUGCGUUAAUAAGGAAAUUACUGGGCGUAAACGCGCGCAUGUGUUCUGUUCACUCGAAUGUGAUAGCUCCCAGCUCCACCUGAGCACUGCCCUCAAUACUUGCAUAUUCGAGUGACACAGAUGGUGAAAGAAUUUCACGUGUACCGGUGAAAUGCGUAGAUAUGUGGAUGAAGUGCACUGGCGAAGGAUGCAUCUUGGGUCGCUAUGUAGCUAUGAUCGCUAACCGGUGGAAGUAGGUGAUAAUCGGCCACUGACGCCUUACCUUAUACGCUGGGCACUAGGAGCUCACCCUAACACUAAGUCAUCUACGCAGUUCCCUAAAGCCGGUCAUCCUUGGUACAACGUAUCACUGCCAGAUCUCCUGCAUUUGCUUGCUGUCGCCCAAGGUCGCUCACUCGAUGAGCUGCUGGCACGCGUCGGCCUAGCGCUAUCCUGCGUCUAUUACUUGUUCGCCGGUGCACCGAAUUACCCGGAGCGAU
rnacentral:rRNA from 1 species